rnacentral:rRNA from 1 species
CCUACGGGUGGCAGCAGUGGGGAAUAUUGGGCAAUGGGCGCAACCCUGACCCAGCAACGCCGCGUGAAGGAAGAAGGUUUUCGGGUUGUAAACUUCUUUUCUCAGUGACGAAGAAAGUGACGGUACCUGAAGAAUAAGCCACGGCAAACUACGUGCCAGCAGCCGCGGUAAUACGUAGGUGGCAAGCGUUAUCCGGAUUUACUGGGUGUAAAGGUCGUGUAGGCGGGAAUGCAAGUCAGAUGGGAAAAGCACGGGCUCAACCUGUGGACUGCAUUUGAAACUGUAGUUCUUGAGUACUGGAGAGGAAGACGGAAUUCCCAGGGUAGCGGUGAAAUGCGUAGAUAUUAGGAGGAACACCAGUGGCGAAGGCGGUCUGCUGGACAGCAACUGACGCUGAGGCGCGAAAGCGUGGGGAGCAAACAGGAUUAGAUACCCUUGUAGUC